rnacentral:rRNA from 1 species
UACACUCCUACGGGAGGCAGCAGUGGGGAAUUUUGGACAAUGGGCGAAAGCCUGAUCCAGCAAUGCCGCGUGAGUGAAGAAGGCCUUCGGGUUGUAAAGCUCUUUUGUCAGGGAAGAAACGGUGAAAGCUAAUAUCUUUUGCUAAUGACGGUACCUGAAGAAUAAGCACCGGCUAACUACGUGCCAGCAGCCGCGGUAAUACGUAGGGUGCAAGCGUUAAUCGGAAUUACUGGGCGUAAAGCGUGCGCAGGCGGUUUUGUAAGUCUGAUGUGAAAUCCCCGGGCUCAACCUGGGAAUUGCAUUGGAGACUGCAAGGCUAGAAUCUGGCAGAGGGGGGUAGAAUUCCACGUGUAGCAGUGAAAUGCGUAGAUAUGUGGAGGAACACCGAUGGCGAAGGCAGCCCCCUGGGUCAAGAUUGACGCUCAUGCACGAAAGCGUGGGGAGCAAACAGGAUUAGAUACCCCAGUAGUCCCAUG